GUCAUUGACUCAACCAGUUCCCUACUUCGGUAGGAGACGUUACUCGCGAAUUCUGGCUGACGGGCUUGUGUUACCUCAGCCGGUAAAGAUAGGCACUUCGGGGUGCAUUCCCAGCUCCGAACACUGCGCCAGGGGGUUAAACAGCACGGGCCGGGAUAACGGGCAGUGCCCCCUCAAGGGAUUGACCCGCAAGGGUGGGAGGAACCGCGAGAUAACCGAGCGAGGGAACCUUAACCCGCGUAAGCGG
rnacentral:sRNA from 1 species